CCCCCUUCUUUCACCCACCUUCUUACCCCUGUCAGCGCCGAGAUCUGUAGCAGAGGUUCCUGGUCUGAACCACCGAUUGGCAAAGAAAGCUGCAGAUUAAACUUCUCGUUUUACAGAGAAGGAAACUGAGGCCCAGACAGCCGAAGGAGAGGCAGUCUAUGGAGCGCAGCGGUAAAGAGCAAGGGGUUGGUGGCCCCAGAAUGGAACCUCAGCUCUGCCAGAGCUAAUGGGAUGCAGAGGCGAGGACAGCCCCUGGAAAACCAUGUGGCGUUGAUACACUGGCAAAGCGCAGGCAUCCCGGCCUCGAAGGUGCAUAAUUAUUGCAAUAUGAAAAAAUCGAGGCUGGGUAGGAGCAGGGCAGUGAGGAUUUCUCAACCCUUACUUUCACCCCGGCGCUGUCCACUGCAUCUGACAGAGCGCGGAGCUGGGCUGCUACAGCCGCAACCCCAGGGACCAGUGCGCACGCCUGGGCCGCCCUCCGG
rnacentral:lncRNA from 10 species